rnacentral:rRNA from 1 species
GAUGAACGCUGGCGGCGUGCCUAAUACAUGCAAGUCGAGCGAAGGGGGGACGGGUGAGUAACACGUGGAUAACCUCCUAUAAGACUGGGAUAACUUCGUGAAACAGGAGCUAAACGGGAUCCUUAGAGAUGGAUCCGCGCUGCAUUAGCUAGUUGGUAAGGUAACGGCUUACCAAGGCAACGAUGCAUAGCCGUCCUGAGAGGGUGAUCGGCCACACUGGAACUUAGCAACGGUCCAGACUCCUACGGGAGGCAGCAGGAGGGAAUCUUCCGCAAUUGGCUAAAGCCUGACGGAGCAACGCCGCGUGAGUGAUGAAGGUCUUCGGAUCGUAAACCGCUUGUGUUAGGGAAGCGGUACCUAAUCAGAAAGCCACGGCUAACUACGUGCCAGCCGCCGCGGUAAUAC